rnacentral:ncRNA from 1 species
ACCUUAUCCCGUGGUGAUUUGGCCGGUCGGCUUGCAGCCACGUAAAAGAAGUCGCUAAAAGGCCGCGCCCGAUGACUU